rnacentral:rRNA from 1 species
GUUGCCUCCGGGGCGACCCUGCCUUCGGGCGGGGGCUCCGGGUGGACACUUCAAACUCUUGCGUAACUUUGCAGUCUGAGUAAACUUAAUUAAUAAAUU